UCAUUCUAUAAAUUAAAUUGCUUUAUAUUAUCACAUAUUAUUGUUUCAUAAUUAAGUAAAAGAUAUUUAUUUAUCUAUAUUAUAUAUUUAUUUUUGUUAAACAUUUGUAUCCUGCGGCCGCUCCGCCAAUCUAUGGACAAAUCCGCUAAAACCCACAAUCUAUUUGGGCUUGCCCGUUAGGCUUUCUAUUUUAUGGACAUAAAGCGAUGUCCAAUCCCACCCUGCCGUGGUACAAUAUAGGCUAAUCUCAAAGGCCGAGUUACAUAAUACUUUGUUUAUUUAUAUGUAUUAAAGGAUUUUUUUUGUUACAAAAU
rnacentral:sRNA from 1 species